rnacentral:piRNA from 1 species
UGGGUGUGUUUGUUCCCAGUUGAACUUUU